AACGAACGCUGGCGGCAGGCUUAACACAUGCAAGUCGAACGCCCCGCAAGGGGAGUGGCAGACGGGUGAGUAACACGUGGGAAUCUACCCUUUGCUACGGAACAACUCCGGGAAACUGGAGCUAAUACCGUAUGUGCCCUUCGGGGAAGAUUAUCGGCAAAGGACGAGCCCGCGUCGGAUUAGCUAGUUGGUGGGGUAAAGGCCUACCAAGGCGACGAUCCGUAGCUGGUCUGAGAGGAUGAUCAGCCACACUGGGACUGAGACACGGCCCAGACUCCUACGGGAGACAGCAGUGGGGAAUAUUGGACAAUGGGCGCAAGCCUGAUCCAGCCAUGCCGCGUGUGUGAUGAAGGCCUUAGGGUUGUAAAGCACUUUCGCCA
rnacentral:rRNA from 1 species